AGUGAACGCUGGCGGUAGGCCUAACACAUGCAAGUCGAACGGCAGCACAGUAAGAGCUUGCUCUUACGGGUGGCGAGUGGCGGACGGGUGAGGAAUACAUCGGAAUCUACUUUUUCGUGGGGGAUAACGUAGGGAAACUUACGCUAAUACCGCAUACGACCUACGGGUGAAAGCAGGGGAUCUUCGGACCUUGCGCGAUUGAAUGAGCCGAUGUCGGAUUAGCUAGUUGGCGGGGUAAAGGCCCACCAAGGCGACGAUCCGUAGCUGGUCUGAGAGGAUGAUCAGCCACACUGGAACUGAGACACGGUCCAGUCUCCUACGGGAGGCAGCAGUGGGGAAUAUUGGACAAUGGGCGCAAGCCUGAUCCAGCCAUACUGCGUGGGUGAAGAAGGCCUUCGGGUUGUAAAGCCCUUUUGUUGGGAAAGAAAAGCAGCAGGUUAAUACCCCGCUGUUCUGACGGUACCCAAAGAAUAAGCACCGGCUAACUUCGUG
rnacentral:rRNA from 1 species